UACGGGAGGCAGCAGUGGGGAAUCUUCCGCAAUGGACGAAAGUCUGACGGAGCAACGCCGCGUGAGUGAUGACGGCCUUCGGGUUGUAAAGCUCUGUUAAUCGGGACGAAAGGCCUUCUUGCGAAUAGUGAGAAGGAUUGACGGUACCGGAAUAGAAAGCCACGGCUAACUACGUGCCAGCAGCCGCGGUAAUACGUAGGUGGCAAGCGUUGUCCGGAAUUAUUGGGCGUAAAGCGCGCGCAGGCGGAUCGGUCAGUCUGUCUUAAAAGUUCGGGGCUUAACCCCGUGAUGGGAUGGAAACUGCCAAUCUAGAGUAUCGGAGAGGAAAGUGGAAUUCCUAGUGUAGCGGUGAAAUGCGUAGAUAUUAGGAAGAACACCAGUGGCGAAGGCGACUUUCUGGACGAAAACUGACGCUGAGGCGCGAAAGCCAGGGGAGCGAACGGGAUUAGAUACCCCGGUAGUCCUGGCCGUAAACGAUGGGUACUAGGUGUAGGAGGUAUCGACCCCUUCUGUGCCGGAGUUAACGCAAUAAGUACCCCGCCUGGGGAGUACGACCGCAAGGUUGAAACUCAAAGGAAUUGACGGGGGCCCGCACAAG
rnacentral:rRNA from 1 species